CAAAAAUACAUGCUCAUUUCAUCUAUUUUUCUUCCAUUUUAACAAUAUAUUAAAACAAUGGCCAAGUCUAGCAUCUCAAAAUCACUUCAUGACGCCAUUUUCAUUGUGUUCCUUCUCUCAGUUCAUGAGAUGAUAGGGAUUGAGGCAAAAGAAUGUAAUGAAGGGCUGCCAUGGGUGACAACACAUUGCCGAGGAGAGGUGGCGGAGGGGAACUGCUGGGUUGAAUGUCAAAAGAGACACGGUAUGGAUGUCAAAGCCAGUUGCAGAGGCAACGUCGCUUUGCCUACUCAGUUUUGUUGGUGCAGCUGGCCGUGCUAAUCCCUAGAAUAGUGCUACUCCCUUACGCCCUUAAUGCUAUUGUCAAGCGAUUUUUCCAUUUUGCUAAUCUCUUGCAUCUAUAUAUAACAAUGCAACUGAUAACUUUUGCUUUCAA